rnacentral:tRNA from 1 species
AGAGGCUGUGGUUCAGUGAUUGAGCCUCUGCUUAAUAUGUAGAAGGUCCCAGGUUCCAUCCCAGGUAUCUCCA